ensembl:lncRNA
AUGGUCUUGUUUCUCUGUAGUUUAAAUAUUAAAGGUCUUUUUGUUUUUAAGGUAGUGUUGGAACAAAAUGGCUUUUUCAGCAAGAACCUGCAACUCCCUAAGGACUGUUAUUUGUCCAAAACGAAGCGGGUCAAGUCCUUUGGUGGUAUUAGGUUGCAUACCUGAAGUACUCUCAGCAGGUAGGAAUAUGCAUCUCUCAUGACACAUUCCAUUGAAAUGGUCCCUUUUGUAGUUAACUUGCAUCUCUGUGCUCUUCCAUCUGUAAUACACUCAAUCCCUCUGUAACUGAUGAUGAUUACCUUUUUGGAAUCUCGUUCGUCUGAAAUCCUGUUGAUACAUCUUUUAUUACUGAAGUUACAGUACAUGAUUCAUCUAGAUUUUUGAAUGCUUUUUGUAUUUGAAAUGACACUCCGAUUGGUUUUCUCUCCAAAAGGUUGCAUACCUGAAAUGCUCCGCAGGUAAGAAUAUGCAUUUCUCAUGACACAUUCCAUUGAAAUGGUCCCUUUGUAGUUAAUUUGCACUACUUGCUGCUCUAUUCCAUCUGUAACCUAUGAUGAUUUUUGCAGUCUCGUUCGUCUGAAGUCCUGCUGAUUAAUUAAGAUUACUGAUGUUACAGAUCUGUGUUUAUUUCUGCAUUUGUGUAGCUUUCCCAUCCUAAUUUUUUUUUUUUUUUAAAC